rnacentral:tRNA from 1 species
GGGAAUGUGGCUUAGUGGUAGAGUGCUUGCUUAGCAUGCAUGAGUCCCUAGGUUCAAUUCCUCAGCACCA